CCUACGGGGGGCAGCAGUGAGGAAUAUUGGUCAAUGGGCGGAAGCCUGAACCAGCCAAGUCGCGUGAGGGAUUAAGGCCCUGCGGGUCGUAAACCUCUUUUGCCGGGGAGCAGAGGUCCGGACGUGUCCGGGCCGGGAGAGUACCCGGAGAGCAAGCAUCGGCUAACUCCGUGCCAGCAGCCGCGGUAAUACGGGGGAUGCGAGCGUUAUCCGGAUUUAUUGGGUUUAAAGGGUGCGUAGGCGGGCAUUUAAGCCGGCGGUCAAAUGUCGGGGCUCAACCCCGGCCUGCCGUCGGAACUGGGUGCCUUGAGUGGGCGAGAAGUAUGCGGAAUGCGUGGUGUAGCGGUGAAAUGCAUAGAUAUCACGCAGAACCCCGAGUGCGAAGGCAGCAUACCGGCGCCCUACCGACGCUGAGGCACGAAAGUGCGGGUAUCGAACAGGAUUAGAUACCCCAGUAGUC
rnacentral:rRNA from 1 species